UUUCGGCGAGUCUUUCGGCCGGCAAGAUUCAAGUGUGGGUUUUGAAUCAACUCUAGAGAAGAGUUUGAUUUCUUGAAUUGAAGACACUAACAAGCUUGAAGGUUAGUGAAUUUACGUGGAGUAUACGUUGCGUUUGUGGUAAGAAUUUGCAAUUCGCUUUGAGGUGAGUCUAGUUUUGGUACCCGAGUUACGGAUCAGGAGGAGCGUGC